CAGGCAGAAGGACCCAGUCCCAGUGUAAAAGCUAGGUUGGAGCAAGGCGCUCCACACAAGUGCCUGACCACGCCACAGGCAGAAGGACUCAGUCCUAAACAGUGAGCUAAGUUGCUUCUUCCUAUCCUUGCUUCUGCACACCCCUUCCCUGCCAAGACCCAGCACGAGGCACUGCCGUGCCAGAGUCCCGAUCCUGCACCUGCUGCCAGUAGCAACUACACAGUUCUGGCCAUUGGCUGUAUUACCGUAAUAAAGACUGACUGACUGUCCUAAAACAACAACAACAACAACUCACCCUAGCAGGCAGGCAAAACCUCAGUGUUCAGCUCAUAAAAAUGCAGUCUAUCUUCCAUCACCAGUAACCCACAUGUAAGAGCAGUUUCUACAACUGUUAAUACCCUGACAGAUUGCAGCCCCUCGAUGAAGACAGCCAUUCUACCAUUCUCACCUAAAGGAGUUUAUGAGGGAAUACAGAAGGUGAAAUUGUUCCCAAUAUCCUGGCAUUUCUGGGAGUUUGAGAGUUGUGGGUAUACCAGCCCUAGAUGCUUAUGAUGUUGAUUGCAAGGUUUCCUGCUGCAGCACUUCUCUCUGACACUGGAAAGUAACACAACUUUUCACAGAGAAACACAUGUGGAGAUAGCAAUGAAAAUAUCCUUCAGACCAAGCAGCUGCUUUGUUGAAACCAUGGAGACGUGCCAAUUUUUUUUAAAGAGAUAUUUUGAUUUUAAGAGGUAUUUUAAAACAUCUGCAGCUGACAAUCUACAUUUUAAAGGGAUCACACUAAUUAUGAACAACAAAAGCAGAAGAGGAGAAAAAAAGGAUCCCUCUCACUUUUUAAUUAAAUAGGAAAUGAAAAGAGCUACCCUACCUUUGGUGUGAUUAUGCAGCUGGUUACACAAGACAUGCAGCUAAUUGAAUUUUAAGAGAGUUAUUUACAGCCACAGGAUAAAGUGAUCGGAAGAACUUCUUGAGGCCAAAGGUGUUGCAACCAAACCAACUGUCAUGAUCAAGCAACAACUUAGCCAACAAAGUCAGGAGAGUCAGGGUGCAGAAUGAAGAGGCACUAGGACUGGAUCACAAGUCCAAAAUGAGGAACUCCUUGAACUCAGGACCCCAAACCCCAGAGACUACAGUUCCCGAGUCAGAUUCCACCAAGGAGCCAGCAUUCUCGUCUCCAGAGCACACACCCCAACACAAACAAUGAGCCUGGUGAGAUUUAGUGGGAAGAUGAUGGAAUGCUAGGCUCUAGUCCAGAGGGCUGCUGCUUUUAGGCUCUCCAUCUUUAAGAAUCUUCUUUUCCCAGCAAGAAAGAACAGUGUGCGGAAGGGGUAGCCAGGUUCAGGGAAGGCAGUAAGAGCUCGGCUGGGCUUCAAAUUUCAGAGUAAGUUGUCUGGUUGGAGCCGUUCUGAGUCCUGCAGCUCCUGCCUGACCCUACCCUACUACUCUGACUGUGGUUCAGUCAGCCCCCCAGAACCUUAUCUUGUCCUGUGAGCUCCCAUACACGGUCGCAACAGGAAAGCAAUCAGGGUUCCGGGUUCCCAACCUAGAGCAUUAAACAUGAGGCUCCUUUUCACAAUGUGAAUCAAACCAGUUAGGCAAUCUCUUCAGGACGACAGGUACAGACGAUGCAAUUCCCAAGACAUGAAAGUAUUAACCAGAAAAUGUGCUCAACACAGACACUUCUAAGCAUAAAAUAGAUAAUACAGAAGUUACUUCAAAUCUAUAACAAUUACUUAAUCAUCUCCAUUCCAUUGUAGCAGUAAGAACUGGUGGAAACGCCUGCUUCUAGAACUUAAAAGCCCUUUAAAAAGUUAGGAGUCACACUACAGGCUGGAGAACACGUAAAGUCAGAGCCACAAGCAGCAGCAAGUACAAUGCAUAGGACCACCCAGGGCCAAACAGAAUGCAAAUCUUUAGCCCCACCUGAAGUAGGAAAGGAGCUCUAUACUUUGAAAGAGGCUAACCUUCUGCCCCUUGUUAGGAGAGCCAACUGAGCCUCCUUGUCAGUCCAGUGUGCAGCAUUCCUACAAAGCCAGUUCUGGCAUCCCUCUCAUUUUAGGCUUCCAUGUCCCAUGCCAAUGAGGACUCGGUUCAAACUCAGCAUCGUGGGGCUUGGAUACUUGGCAGUUGCAGGUUAAUCAGGAAAUCUACUUGGCACCCUGCUGAAGGGUCUUACACACAAGGACCUGAAUCUGAGAAAGAUUCAGGUGCUUGAGGGCUGGGCGGGUCAAGCAAUUAGCAGGUCGGCUGUCAGUCCGAGUUGCCAACAUGAAAGUAGGGCUGCCUCUAAACCAUAAAGAAAAUGCUUUAAUCUUUGCCACAAAGGCAUCAACAGCUUUUAUCAAGCUUAAUUUAAAUAAUGGUAUUUAAUACGACAUAUUAUUGCCCAUCUUGUCACAUAUACCCAAUGCCUUCUUUGCAAGCAGGAACAAGUGCAGUUUACAAACAGAUGCUUCCAUGAAUGAGCAAAGGGGAUGUGGGAGCAGAACCUCAUCAGCUAUACAUACAUACAUACAUACAUACAUACAUAAUACACAAACACACACACACACACUCACUCACAAACCUUGCCUUCCAUAUUAAUUGUGAUGACAUGGUAAAGAGCCUCCCUUACUUUCUGAAUUCAGCUUUUGAAAUACAACAUAAGGAGUCCUGCUCUACAAGGGAACAGCCACCAAUGACUGCACCUCAGAAAAGCCAUACCAUAUUGCACUGAGGUAUUACUCAUUCUGAGAGUCAGGCAGGCAUCUCACUGCCCACAGGCAAACUGAAGCAUUCUGAAAAACUGGGAGGUACCCUUGAAGAUUUACUGCUCUCUAACCUUCUUCAGAGUCUCACAGCCCCCUAAUCUUACAGCACAGAGCAGAGUAAGAACAUGCAGAACAAGUCUACUGAAAAGAAGAAACAAUGAUCAUCCACAACAAGGGCAAAGCAGCAAGCCCUGAUAACACCAGGCCCACUUCACACUCUGCAUUGUUACCUAAAAGCCAUGCAUCACAAAGCUCCAGCCUCAUUGGCUCAUGUCUUACAGACAUCUUUUGCUGAGACCAUGGCUAUGGUGAGGGUAGGAUAAGAAAAGCUGGAUUAAUUGUUUGAUCUAAGAUCGUAAAUAAACAACUAACUAACUAAAGCUUGAUUAAAGAAGUCUUCACUCACAGAUACCCUACACCUUGCUGGAUCAAGACCCUCUAAUCAAACAUUCUGUUUUCAACAGGAGCCAGCCAGAUGCUUCUACAAAGCUCACAAACAAUAAGGAAAACAUUAACCCAUUGUUUGUCCCCCAACAACAUAUAUUCAAAAGGUAUACUGCAGCGAUCUUCACUGUUUUUCACUAAAACUUUUACCAUGAAAAUCAUUUCCCACCACACUGAUGUCUGCACAGUGUGCACUUUUGCUAGCGCUGGGUGAUGCUGAAAGAAAGAGAGCCCUGUUGAGCCAUAGCACCAUCUUGGGAGGCAUGCACAGAGUGCUGGGAAGGACUACAUUUCCCAGAGCUCUGUGUGGGCUUUCUGAUAUGGUGCUGGGUCUUGAGAAAGCAUUGCCCUUAAAGGAGCCCCACUAGCAAUGUGCAAAAUACAGCACUGCACAGUGGGCAUGAUCACCUCCAUGGAGGUGUUGGGGGACUAUAUGGAGUAUCUGGCUUCAACGGAAGCUUUGCACAGCCCAAUAGUCAAGGAGUUGCAGUUAGGAGUCAAUGGUAGCCUAAUAGAUGUUAUUAGACCUAUCAUGCUCAAUGAAUCUGUCCAAUUCCCUUUUAAGGAACUGGCCAUCACACCACAUCUUGUGGCAGCAAAUUCUAGCUGGUAAUGAUGACUUCACAUAUGUUGAACAAUAUAUAAAUUUAUUUUAUGCUAAAAGAUAGUCCAUCCAUAGUCACCAUCUCUAAUUAUGUAGCUGAUACAUUACUGACUCACUUACUUUGAUAUGAGUUUUGAUUGUUUUUCUUUUGCCCAGUGAGAGCAGCAGUACGCAUUUAGGUAAACUGGCACACUUAAAAGUCACUGAGCAGCUGUGUUUUGUAAUGUUCUGCAAUACAUUCAGCCUCAUUUGUUUUAUUAGCAUUUUAUUGCAAUAAACUUCAUACACAAGCAA